GGAUAAUGAUGGUGGCACCACCCCUGCAAAUUCAUGUUAUGAGACAUCGGUUUCAGACAAACCACUUGCACAGCCAUCAUGGUGACAGCUACAGGCAACGUGGUAACCUGCAGAUUGCUCACAGAGUGAAGCGAGGCCAGUAAUGAAGCAGAGUAAGGCAAGAGGAAUCAUGAAAAAAAAAAUAUAUAUAUAUAUAUAUUUUGAAGAUACUGGACUAAACUUGGAAGCACAUUUGCUUCAAGAAUCAUUCAAGAUCUUCAGGUCACUGUGGGAAAUGACCUCCUGGGAAGACAAGAAGAUGGCCAGCUGACCUACUUGUGCAAUGGGCAGCCAGUUGAAAGAACCACAAAAGCAGAUGGAAAGUCAAAGAGCUUCUGAAAAUAAGGAACAUGUUCACAUCCACACAAGAAUUAUUCUGCAAAGACCGGAAAUCUGCCGAUGACAUUUAGGCAAAGAUGGAGAAGGAUAUUUGAAAUGAUGUGGAAGACACAUCAUCUGCAUUUUUACUGAUAUGAUCAGCUGUAGAAAUGGUGACCCUGCAAAAAUUAGCUCAUCCCAAAGGUUUGGAGCACGUGCAGCCAAACAAACCUGCUUUACCAACGGGGUGCCACUGGAUAUCAGGGUGCACAUCGUAGAAGACUUUGGUUUCCUUGUCAAAAACUUUAAUGUCAUUGGCAUGUUCCUUCAAAAUUUUCAGUUCUGAUGGAUUUGGUAGAAAAGUGUUUUACUUGGUUGUUUUCAACUGACUGUACUCAGUCUAGACCAAAAAAAUUGCAAAAGCACAGAAAGGAAAUAUUGCUAUGUUUGAUCAACAGAUGGGGAAGUGAGUCAUGGUGGAUUUAGUUUAUUUACCCUAGAUUAUGCAAGAAAUGUGAGACUGAGCUGGAAAUAUAUUCCAGGACUUACUCUCUAGUGUAUUUUUCCCUUCCACGAAAUUCAAAAUCUGUGCAGCUUCAGCUUAAAAGAAAAAAGUAAGAAACAAAGUAUUACUAUUUUUUGUCUCAAUCACAUAGUUAUCAUAGAAGAAGAAAGCUUUCAAUGUCCAUUAAGAAGUUAAAAUUCAGAUAUUAAAAGAUUACCAAAGGAUAAUGUAAAAGAUAUUGCAACAUGUC
ensembl:lncRNA